rnacentral:lncRNA from 1 species
ACUGCUCCCAUUUGUACUGCAAUUGGUACUUCUGGCACUCCCGCGGCUAUUGGUGUUAUCACUAGUCUCGUUACUAUUUGAAUCUGAAUUUUUCUUCCUUUGGUUUUUCUUGGACCUGCAAUUCCUUUUUGUUGUUCCCGUAGGCUAUUUCUUAUGCAUAAUCGCUCCUAUCUUUCUUUUGUUUGUCGAUUAAUUCUUUGAUAAUCCUUCCCUUCAUGAUUAUCACUCAUAAUCUUUCAUUCUUUUCGGCAAAAUCAAUACUACCUUGAAUUAUAACUCACAUAUUUGUAACCCUAAAACUGGUUCUUUUCACGUUCUCAUUCAACAUAUAAUUCCAUCUUCCAUACAAUCAAUUUUUAACAUUUCAUAUUGUUAUCAUUUCCUCGGCGGGGGCACCAAAAUGUUAUUCUUGUUGUGUUCAAGCUUCAGUAUACCAAAGCAAUUAAACUAAUAGAGGUGGAUUUGAAUACGGGAAAAGACUAGUUAUAUGAAUUGGGUCUGUUAGUGUCACAAUUAACUAUACUCUAGCUAUUUGAAAACAAUUAUCAAACUAUAAAAUACCAAGGCUUAUUACUUCUAUCUUGAUUCAAUGCUUAAUGCAUUCUACGACUAUCAAUUCAACAAUACUUCUCUCAAUCA